rnacentral:sRNA from 1 species
GGCAAGAGAAUUGCCUAAGCCCAGGAGUUGGAGGUUGCUGUGAGCUAUGAUGCCACAGCACUCUUUCAAGGGCGAUAAAGUGAGACUGUGUCUCUUUUUUUUUUUUUGUUUGAGACAGAGCCUCAAGCUAUCCCCCCGGGUAGAGUACCUUGGCAUCACAGCUCACAGCAACCUCCAACUCCUGGGCUCAAGCGAGUCUCCUGCCUCAGUCUCCCAAGUAGCUGGGAACACAGGCGCCCACCACGACGCCCGGC